rnacentral:rRNA from 1 species
UACAGAGGGGGCAAGCGUUAUUCGGAAUUAUUGGGCGUAAAGGGCGCGUAGGCGGCAUGGCAAGUGGAUGGUGAAAUCCCUCGGCUUAACCGAGGAACUGCCGUCCAAACUGCUUCGCCUGAGACCGGGAGAGGUGAGUGGAAUUCCCAGUGUAGCGGUGAAAUGCGUAGAUAUUGGGAGGAACACCAGUGGCGAAGGCGGCUCACUGGACCGGUACUGACGCUGAAGCGCGAAAGCGUGGGGAGCAAACGGG